GACGAACGCUGGCGGCGUGCUUAACACAUGCAAGUCGAACGAAGAGCGAUGGAAGCUUGCUUCUAUCAAUCUUAGUGGCGAACGGGUGAGUAACGCGUAAUCAACCUGCCCUUCAGAGGGGGACAACAGUUGGAAACGACUGCUAAUACCGCAUACGAUCUAACCUCGGCAUCGAGGAUAGAUGAAAGGUGGCCUCUACAUGUAAGCUAUCACUGAAGGAGGGGAUUGCGUCUGAUUAGCUAGUUGGAGGGGUAACGGCCCACCAAGGCGAUGAUCAGUAGCCGGUCUGAGAGGAUGAACGGCCACAUUGGGACUGAGACACGGCCCAGACUCCUACGGGAGGCAGCAGUGGGGAAUCUUCCGCAAUGGACGAAAGUCUGACGGAGCAACGCCGCGUGAGUGAUGACGGCCUUCGGGUUGUAAAGCUCUGUUAAUCGGGACGAAAGGCCUUCUUGCGAAUAGUNAGAAGGAUGACG
rnacentral:rRNA from 1 species